AAAAGACCUUUCAAACAGCCCCCCAUGGAUGCCUGGCUUCAGCAGUCCUGACGUUGGAAAGAAGAGACUAUUUUACAAAAUCUUUGGAAAUUUGCCAUUAAUGAAAACACUAGUGCUGCAUAAACCCCUAAGCGUUUAAGAAAUGAGUCACCAAUGUGUGGAAUKACACAGACAGAACCAUCAGCUACUGUGACAGAAUCCAAACGGAACCAGAGAGAACUAUAUCAGAAGGAUAUUAGACCCGACAAAGACCAGAGACAACAGCUGGGACGAGGCUCUGCAGUUUGGGCUUUGUUGUAARGCAGAUUGGGCCGGUCCUCUGGGACCAGUCCUGGGUGCCCUGUCAAGGCCGAUGCUCGGGAAGCCUGAGUCCACCAGGUGUGACCGUUGGCCAGGCUCCAUACCCGGUGUGCUGCCGGCUCUGGCUGCUCUUGGUUUUAUGCGAAGGCUGAUGUGGAAAGGUCAACCCCACAAAGGAAGACCCCUCUUCUGUCCCUCCAGCGUUUCACCUUUGACCCCAGAGGGAGAGCACUGCCACCUCCAGAGGCAGCCGCUGUGACGUCCCUCGAGAGCCUCGAG